rnacentral:lncRNA from 1 species
CUGAUAUCUUUGUUUUACUUGUUUCUGUAGGCCGAAGCUAAAAUACUUAAAGGGCCACAUGAGGACCUAGAAAGCUAUGUUCAAGCAAUUGAGCAACUAAGAAACAACAUUCGGUUUUUUGUGACAACAAAAGCUUCAAGAGCUCAGCCAUACAAAUAAUUUACUAGCCAAGGCUAUAACCAAGCUGGAAGAAGAAUUUAAGCAGAUAUUGUCAUCAUACAGGUAUGUUUUACUUUCUUUGUGCAACAACUUAUAAUUUUGCCGCCAUACCAUUAUUUUAAACUAGACAUUUUUCUUGCAUAUAAUUUUAUGGUAGUAGGUCACCCAUGACGAGUUGACGACAAAGUCUUGUACUACAUAUAUAUAGUGCAUGUGUGUGAGUGUAUCUACUAACCUUCUGUGUGAAGAUAGUACACUAACAUUGUGCUCACAAUUUUUUAGCUGUUAUUGACCCAUCCAUGUCAUUAAACCCUUGUUUCAAAAUAUUUAAAAAUCACUUAUCAUUUUCAAAUACGCAUUCUCUCAAGAGAAUAUUUUUCAUGUUUCCCCGUAACUUUUCCUAUGUUUUAACCACACAAGCAAUCCUCUUAUAUUGAUUUGCAAGUUCUGAACAACUAUCCUCCUGCACUCUAAAAAAAAAGGUUGAUCUUCAAUUUUGAGGGCUCUCACUGCCCCGCUCUUAGGGUAUCGUGAGAGAGGUAACUCGCGGGAUGGGUCUCAACAGAUUAGGGAACAAGAGCUUGCCCGUAUAUUGUGCCCACAAAGAGUCCAAUUCCAUAUCUCAAAAAUCGAACCCUCACACUGCGGCUGUCAGCAAAACUGAGGUUGCAGGCUGUAACUGCUUCAUUCUGUUUAUCAUCUCCUCGGAAAGUAAACUUGAACACAGACAAUAGAGCAUCAAAAUUCAGGAAGGUGAAGAGAGUCGAAGGCAAACAAAAUGGGUUCAGUGAGAAAAAUCCAUGCGGUAGGAAAGGCGACACAAGACACUUUGUCAGAUACUAGGACGAGGUAAUUUGUAGAUACAUUAUCCUUCUGCACUCUCAAAAAAAAGGUUAAACCCUAUCCUUAAGGGUCCCCCACCACCCCUGUCUUGGAGUAUCGUGAGGGAGGUAAAUCGCAGAUUAUGCCUCCAAGGGUAUAGGGUGGAAGGCUGCUUGUAUACUUGCACUUACCCAAGAGCCAAAUCCAUAUUUCAGGAUUCGAACCCUUGACGCAGCAGCCUCAAGCAAAGCUGGAUUUCUCCACCCUCCCCUUUUACCACUUGGAGAUGUGCCCUGGGGGCAUUAUCCUUCUGCACUCUCGCUAGCACGGAUGGAGGAAAUAGUAGCAUAAUUUCAAGAGCAAUUAUCAAAGACAGGUGUGUUUGAGUUGUAGUUUCCUGGAGAACAAUAUUUGCUUGUUAAGUGGUAUAAAUUGACUUAGAAUGUGAUUUGAUUGAAUUUGUUGUAUUUCAUUACUAUAUUGAAGACAUUUAAUAUGCAAUUUGAGGAACUCCAUCAAAGACAAUCUCAAUGAACAGUUUCUGACACGGAGUUAAGAGUCUUUGAGGCUUGCAGUUGCUAAAGUCUUGCUUCCAACUUGCCGAUCCCUCAUUAAAGGUGGUCAGUAAAUUAGAGUAUUUUGUUAGUGAUUUGAACGAAUUAUAGUUUAAUUAUGUGUUAAUUAUAUUUGUUAGGUUGAACUCAAUACAAAUUGAUAGAAUUAGAAUAAAUGAACAAAAAGGAGGCAAAAAUAAAUGAAUCCAAUGUAUAAGGACCAAAGUGUAAAUAUUCAAUGGUUAAUUCGGUCCAUAAAAUGAUGAUUGGAGAUCACAUAUGAUCAACUGUAUGUAAUUUUGAGGCCAAAGGAGUGAAAUAGAGUUGAAGUAUUUGCACAAAUCAAUUUUCAAUCGAAGAAGUCGUGCUCCGAAUUUUUAGCCUCAACUUGAGACCCAUUUUUCGGAUAGCAAACGUUUGAAUUGAAAAAAUUGUACUUCUAAUAGAGUUUUAGCCCUUUGAGUUUCAUGUCACUUUGAAUCACCUCAAUCGGAUAACAAAAAAAAAGUUAUGACCAAAAUAUCGAAAGUUGUUCACGGAUAAUGGUGCACUAGCGAAUCAGUAGUUUUCUUUCACGAUUCAAACUCUUUUGGCACUCAAAUUGGACGUGAUUUUUGAUCUAUUUUCUAACUUUCAUAAAUAUUCAUAAAUAGAGAACAAAGGUUACACAUAGUAAAAAUCCUCUCUUGCAUCUUCAUAUAUAAUAGUUUCAUCAAAUUCAUAAAAAAAACAAAGAGUUAAUUAUUAUACUUUGAGAGGGGAGAUCAAGCCCUAGCAAGAAUUGAAAGCCAAUUACAUCAAGAUUUUGAAGAUUUUAACAUUGGAUUUGAAAAUCAACAUCUUUUGAAUUAUUUCAUGAUCCGAGUGAUAUUUUCCUAUUCUUCUUAUUAUUUAUAUAUUAAUAUGCUAAGCUAAAUCCGCUUUUGUAUUGGAUGAAGAUAAAUCCUAUUUGUUAUUUAUUUCUAAUUCAAGACUAGUAGUUUAGUUUAAUUCUUAUAUUUCUUGAUUAAUUUUGCAUAUUCAUUGUAUUAUUUAAUUGAUCGGUCACCAAUUAGAUAAUUCGUUGCUUAUUGUAGUAUUGAGAGACUCACAAUUAGUUUAGUACCUGACAAAAUUAACCUAUGUGUAAUAGAUAUUAGGAGUAACAUUUGUCACGUAUGCAAUCAUAUAGAUAAUCUAAAAUUUAAUGCGUUCUAACCAUUUGAAUUUGGACUAGGAAUAUAUUCGAGUCGUGAUUAAGAUGAAAUUAGUUUGUCUUAAAAAGUUAAAUAAAUUAACUUGAUCGGUUGUCAUAAACGCAUGAGUGAAACUAGACUACGAAUCAAGAAUUAAAAUAGAUAGCAAAAGACGGAUUCUAGGUCCAAUACAAUCAUCCAUAAUUUGAUAAAAAUCAUAUUUUUACAGCUUUAUUAGAUUAAGGCCCCAUUUGUUUCCCAUUUUUGGAAGAAUGAAAAUGAAAAAUAUAGUCAUUAGGGCUCCACACAAAAGAUAAAAUUCAAAUUUGGUGGCUUGAUGUAAUGGAUAACGGUCAUAUUUUUCAUUUUAAAGAGGAAAUAAUGGGAAACAAACGGGGGCUAAUUUAGCAUAAAUCAAAUCAAACUUAUUUUGUUUACAUAAUUCGAAUUUCAUAUGAAACUAGUAAAUUUGAAUUGAAAUUUAUUCCCUGUAAGAUAGGACGAUACUCUCAACUCACUAUAUCUAUUACUUGUCAACAAUCACGUACACUUAUGGGUUUCACACGAACAAAAUGCUUCGGGUACAUUUCUUAUUAUUGGUUAAAAAAGUCAUAAGAUUCAUUAAAGGCUUAGGAUAAUGAUUCAACAUUGGUGGCAUAGUAUUUCUAAUUUGCUACAAAUGAAUUAUAUAGUUUGUUUCUUAUUGUUAACAUCAUCCUUACCUCAUGUAACAUGAGUAUAUUAUGGUGAAAUGUAUUUAGAUUUUUGACAUACGUUUCAGGCCUUUGGUUGAGAACGGUAAUAACCCACAGAAGUACAUCAUAUACAAUCCAGAGGAUCUCGAACAUGUGCCUGGUGAAUUUUUCGAGGGUAAGACCUUAAACGACCACAAGCGGUAGACAUCCUAUCCAAUGCUCUCGACUUUUAGUCUUUUAUUAGACAACUAUGGGGUCACUUUCUUGUACAUGAUGUUUCUUCAUUUUCCUGUUAAGGUGGUUUUGUGCUUGACUGCAUGCAUAUUGUAAUAUCCUGCGUUGUAGAGAAGCUUAUUCAUAAUCAUGGGCGGAGCCAUGCACAGUCCAGUGUAGGCAAAUGCCCGCACUGGACUUUUGGCCCAAGCCCAUGGUCAAUUCAAUUUUUUUUUUUUUUUAAGGUAUGUUUUUCAUUUAUUUAUAGUCCAACUCAUACACUAAUUUACCCCAACUCCAAGUGUACGAGGACAUUUUCUGACUCUCUUCCCUCAGUAAGAAAUUAAAAUUUUUCUUUAAAUCUCCUCUCGUUUUGAAAUAUUUUCAAAUUUCAUUUCUUUUCUAAAACCCAUAUGUUCUUGGGCCCUCAAAUUUGCAGCAAAAAUUUUCUUGAUCAUGUGAUUUUUUUUUUGUUUAAUAUUAAGGAUUUUGAUUAUGUGAAUGUUGAAUAUUGAUAAUAUUUGUGAUGGAUUUUUGAAAUUU